ACAAGUCAGGGGCAGCACAAAUGAGUAGCAAUACUUAUUGGUGGCGACCGGCGCACGGGUGCGUAACGCGUAUGCAACCUACCUGUAACAGGGGGAUAACACUGAGAAAUUGGUACUAAUACCCCAUAAUACUUUUGGAGGCAUCUUCGGGAGUUGAAAGUUCCGGCGGUUACGGAUGGGCAUGCGUUGUAUUAGCUAGUUGGUGUGGUAACGGCAUACCAAGGCAACGAUACAUAGGGGGACUGAGAGGUUAACCCCCCACAUUGGUACUGAGACACGGACCAAACUCC
rnacentral:rRNA from 1 species